CCACUUCCCCGUUUACAGGUAACGGUGUCACUCACCUGGAUCACCUUUACCUGCGGAAACACGGAGCGUUUAAAUAUUUACCUCAGGAUAAAAUUAUUCAUCUUAUCAUAACAUUUUUAUUUGAGCGAAUAUACAAACAUAUAUUUAUUUAUUUAUAUAUAUCGGGACUAUAUGAUGGAGCAGCCGGUUCUGGGCGGUUUGGGUCGGUGCUCGUGCGCCUUCUGGCUGGCGGUGGCGUUUGACACGUGCGGCCUCGUCGUGCUUCUCGCAGGUGUUUUCGCCGACAUCUUCUUCUACGACUUCCUCAUCUACGCGGGCGCCAUCGUCAUCUUCCUCAGCCUGAUUUGGUGGGUUUUCUGGUACACGGGGAACAUCGAGGUGCCACCUGAGGAGCUCGAAGACGACGUGGGUCUGCUAAAGAAGAAAGAAAAAGGUCUCACGGGGGUCCUCAGGAGGUUCUCCAGCCGAAUCAGGAGCUCAGUGAGGACCAACAGGACCACCAGGUCUGCUCAGGCUUCGGGGAACCAACAUGGCAGCCAGGGGACUGUAGCAGUCAACCUGCCUAUGACGUCACAACCCGAACACCUGAGCACUGUUUCAGCUGCUGUGGCUACAGAAACUUCACCCAUAUGAGCCUUAAAUCACAGGUCGUUAUCAUCGCUACACUUAAUCAGCAUCUAAAUUCUCCUGACCUUAUCCGUCCCUCGACCUAAAGAGGAAGAAGAACCUCAAAGUGGAGCUGAAGAAAUCACUGAAUUUCUGUACACUUCCUCUUUUCUAUUUUAUUUGUAGUUAAAUGUUUUUUACUUAAUGAUAACGAUGCCGAUGAUUUGAUUGUUGCCUAAAUGUCUCGUCACUGCUGUUUCCCUCACUGUCGAUCAGGUCUCUGUGAUUCUCGGGCAUUAUUCUAACCUGACUUGUGGCCGAUCUUUAUGUAACGCUCCUGUGAAGCAGGCUGAGGAAUAAACAGUUGUAUUUUUGUA